GAUGAACGCUAGCGGCAGGCCUAACACAUGCAAGUCGAGGGAGAGGUUAUCUUCGGGUAACCAAAACCGGCGCACGGGUGCGUAACGCGUAUACAAUCUGCCUUUCACAUAGGGAUAGCCCGAAGAAAUUUGGAUUAAUACCUAAUGGUAUAUAAGAGCGGCAUCGUUUUUAUAUUAAAGCUACGGUGGUGAAAGAUGAGUAUGCGUUCUAUUAGCUAGUUGGAGAGGUAACGGCUCCCCAAGGCGACGAUAGAUAGGGGUUCUGAGAGGGAUGUCCCCCACACUGGUACUGAGAUACGGACCAGACUCCUACGGGAGGCAGCAGUGAGGAAUAUUGGACAAUGGUCGGAAGACUGAUCCAGCCAUGCCGCGUGCAGGAUGAAGGUCCUAUGGAUUGUAAACUGCUUUUGUAAGGGAAGAAUAAGGGGUACGUGUACUUUGAUGACGGUACCUUACGAAUAAGCAUCGGCUAACUCCGUGCCAGCAGCCGCGGUAAUACGGAGGAUGCGAGCGUUAUCCGGAAUCAUUGGGUUUAAAGGGUCCGUAGGCGGGCUGAUAAGUCAGAGGUGAAAGCGCUUAGCUCAACUAAGCAACUGCCUUUGAAACUGUCAGUCUUGAAUGAUUGUGAAGUAGUUGGAAUGUGUAGUGUAGCGGUGAAAUGCUUAGAUAUUACACAGAACACCGAUAGCGAAGGCAUAUUACUAACAAUUUAUUGACGCUGAUGGACGAAAGCGUGGGGAGCGAACAGG
rnacentral:rRNA from 1 species